rnacentral:rRNA from 1 species
GGCGAACGCUGGCGGCGUGCUUAACACAUGCAAGUCGAACGGAAAGGCCCUGCUUUUGUGGGGUGCUCGAGUGGCGAACGGGUGAGUAACACGUGAGUAACCUGCCCUUGACUUUGGGAUAACUUCAGGAAACUGGGGCUAAUACCGGAUAGGAGCUCCUGCUGCAUGGUGGGGGUUGGAAAGUUUCGGCGGUUGGGGAUGGACUCGCGGCUUAUCAGCUUGUUGGUGGGGUAGUGGCUUACCAAGGCUUUGACGGGUAGCCGGCCUGAGAGGGUGACCGGCCACAUGGGGACUGAGAUACGGACCAGACGCCUACGGGAGGCAGCAGUGGGGAAUAUUGCACAAUGGGCGGAAGCCUGAUGCAGCAACGCCGCGUGCGGGAUGACGGCCUUCGGGUUGUAAACCGCUUUCGCCUGUGACGAAGCGUGAGUGACGGUAAUGGGUAAAGAAGCACCGGCUAACUACGUG